CCUACGGGGGGCAGCAGUGAGGAAUAUUGGUCAAUGGCCGGAAGGCUGAACCAGCCAUGCCGCGUGAAGGUCAGUGCCCUAUGGGCGUUAAACUUCUUUUGUGCGGGAGCAAUAAUGGUCACGUGUGGCCAGACGAGAGUUCCGUACGAAUAAGCAUCGGCUAACUCCGUGCCAGCAGCCGCGGUAAUACGGGGGGUGCAAGCGUUAUCCGGAUUUAUUGGGUUUAAAGGGUGCGUAGGCUGUGCGGUAAGUCAGCGGUGAAAUGCCCGCGCUCAACGGGGUGAAGUGCCAUUGAUACUGCCUGGCUGGAAUGCGGAUGCGGUGGGAGGAAUGUGUGGUGUAGCGGUGAAAUGCAUAGAUAUCACACAGAACACCGAUUGCGAAGGCAUCUCACGAAUCCGCGAUUGACGCUGAUGCACGAAAGCGUGGGUAUCAAACAGGAUUAGAUACCCCAGUAGUC
rnacentral:rRNA from 1 species